rnacentral:rRNA from 1 species
GGGUGUGAUCAUACCAAUGUUAAUGCAUUGGAUCCCAUCAGAACUCCAUAGUUAAGUGCGCUUGGGCUAGAGUAGUACCGGGAUGGGUGACCUCCAAGGAAGUCCUAGUGUUGCAAUCU